GAUGAACGCUGGCGGCGUGCCUAAUACAUGCAAGUCGAGCGAACAGACGAGGAGCUUGCUCCUCUGACGUUAGCGGCGAACGGGUGAGUAACACGUGGAUAACCUACCUAUAAGACUGGGAUAACUUCGGGAAACCGGAGCUAAUACCGGAUAAUAUAUUGAACCGCAUGGUUCAAUAGUGAAAGACGGUUUUGCUGUCACUGAUAGAUGGAUCCGCGCCGCAUUAGCUAGUUGGUAAGGUAACGGCUUACCAAGGCGACGAUGCGUAGCCGACCUGAGAGGGUGAUCGGCCACCCUGGAACUGGGACAGGGUCCAGACUCCUACGGGAGGCAGCAGUAGGGAAUCUUCCGCAAUGGGCGAAAGCCUGACGGAGCAACGCCGCGUGAGUGAUGAAGGUCUUCGGAUCGUAAAGCUCUGUUAUUAGGGAAGAACAACUGUGUGAGUAACUGUGCACGUCUUGACGGUACCUAAUCAGAAAGCCCCGGCUAACUACGUG
rnacentral:rRNA from 1 species